rnacentral:rRNA from 1 species
GAUGAACGCUGGCGGCGUGCCUAAUACAUGCAAGUCGAGCGAACAGAUGAGGAGCUUGCUCCUCUGACGUUAGCGGCGGACGGGUGAGUAACACGUGGAUAACCUACCUAUAAGACGGGGAAAAUUUGGGGAAACCGGAGCAAAUACCGGAUAAUAUAUUGAACCGCAGGGUUCAUUAGUAAAAGACGGUUUUGCUGUCACUUAUAGAUGGUUCCGCGCCGCAUUAGCUAGUUGGUAAGGUAACGGCUUACCAAGGCAACGAUGCGUAGCCGACCGGAGAGGGUGAUCGGCCACACUGGAACUGAGACACGGUCCAGACUCCUACGGGAGGCAGCAGUAGGGAAUCUUCCGCAAUGGGCGAAAGCCUGACGGAGCAACGCCGCGUGAGUGAUGAAGGUCUUCGGAUCGUAAAACUCUGUUAUUAGGGAAGAACAAAUGUGUAAGUAACUAUGCACGUCUUGACGGUACCUAAUCAGAAAGCCACGGCUAACUACGUGC